GGGGAAUUUUGGACAAUGGGCGCAAGCCUGAUCCAGCCAUGCCGCGUGCAGGAUGAAGGCCUUCGGGUUGUAAACUGCUUUUGUACGGAACGAAAAGACUUCUUCUAAUACAGGAGGUCCAUGACGGUACCGUAAGAAUAAGCACCGGCUAACUACGUGCCAGCAGCCGCGGUAAUACGUAGGGUGCAAGCGUUAAUCGGAAUUACUGGGCGUAAAGCGUGCGCAGGCGGUUAUAUAAGACAGAUGUGAAAUCCCCGGGCUCAACCUGGGAACUGCAUUUGUGACUGUAUAGCUAGAGUACGGUAGAGGGGGAUGGAAUUCCGCGUGUAGCAGUGAAAUGCGUAGAUAUGCGGAGGAACACCGAUGGCGAAGGCAAUCCCCUGGACCUGUACUGACGCUCAUGCACGAAAGCGUGGGGAGCAAACA
rnacentral:rRNA from 1 species